GAUGAACGCUGGCGGCGUGCCUAGUACAUGCAAGUCGAGCGAACGGACGAGAAGCUUGCUUCUCUGAUGUUAGCGGCGGACGGGUGAGUAACACGUGGAUAACCUACCUAUAAGACUGGGAUAACUUCGGGAAACCGGAGCUAAUACCGGAUAAUAUUUUGAACCGCAUGGUUCAAAAGUGAAAGACGGUCUUGCUGUCACUUAUAGAUGGAUCCGCGCUGCAUUAGCUAGUUGGUAAGGUAACGGCUUACCAAGGCAACGAUGCAUAGCCGACCUGAGAGGGUGAUCGGCCACACUGGAACUGAGACACGGUCCAGACUCCUACGGGAGGCAGCAGUAGGGAAUCUUCCGCAAUGGGCGAAAGCUUGACGGAGCAACGCCGCGUGAGUGAUGAAGGUCUUCGGAUCGUAAAACUCUGUUAUUAGGGAAGAACAUAUGUGUAAGUAACUGUGCACAUCUUGACGGUACCUAAUCAGAAAGCCACGGCUAACUACGUG
rnacentral:rRNA from 1 species